rnacentral:rRNA from 1 species
GACGAACGCUGGCGGCGUGCUUAACACAUGCAAGUCGAACGGAAAGGCCCUGCUUUUGUGGGGUGCUCGAGUGGCGAACGGGUGAGUAACACGUGAGUAACCUGCCCUUGACUUUGGGAUAACUUCAGGAAACUGGGGCUAAUACCGGAUAGGAGCUCCUGCUGCAUGGUGGGGGUUGGAAAGUUUCGGCGGUUGGGGAUGGACUCGCGGCUUAUCAGCUUGUUGGUGGGGUAGUGGCUUACCAAGGCUUUGACGGGUAGCCGGCCUGAGAGGGUGACCGGCAACAUGGGACGUGGGAUCCGGCCAGACUCCUACGGGAGGCAGCAGUGGGGAAUAUUGCACAAUGGGCGGAAGCCUGAUGCAGCAACGCCGCGUGCGGGAUGACGGCCUUCGGGUUGUAAACCGCUUUCGCCUGUGACGAAGCGUGAGUGACGGUAAUGGGUAAAGAAGCACCGGCUAACUACGUG